rnacentral:tRNA from 1 species
UGCGCUUGUAGUAUAGUGGUAAUAUGCUGGCUUCCCAAGUCAGCGUCCCGGGUUCAAUUCCCGGCAGGCGCAU